GGGGGGAGGGAAGGUAAUUCAAUAAAACCCCGAGUUUUCAUCUAACUUGACCUCCUUGUAUGGUUGCAUGUUAAAUUACUGAGAUGUCCUUAAUUUUACUUCGGCCACAGACUGAGAAGCACGGCUGUUUCAUUAGCAGUAAAUGACAUGAGAGGCAACACUGCGAGACCAUAAUCAUUCUGAUGACAAACAUCCUGAGGGGCCAGUUUCACAUGCUGGGAUCCUAGUGUUGUUCCACUAAGUAAACUGUGACAGCCUACAAAAAUUCUCAGUGAAUUCAUUAAAAGCUGUUGGAAGCCUUAGGCUGGACUAUGGGUGGCAUCACACCUGCAGGGAGUGACAGCCGUGGGGACAGCAAAGCUGCAGA
ensembl:lncRNA